rnacentral:rRNA from 1 species
AUGAACGCUAGCUACAGGCUUAACACAUGCAAGUCGAGGGGCAUCAGGAAGAAAGCUUGCUUUCUUUGCUGGCGACCGGCGCACGGGUGAGUAACACGUAUCCAACCUGCCCUUUACUCGGGGAUAGCCUUUCGAAAGAAAGAUUAAUACCCGAUGGCAUAAUGAUUCCGCAUGGUUUCAUUAUUAAAGGAUUCCGGUAAAGGAUGGGGAUGCGUUCCAUUAGGUUGUUGGUGAGGUAACGGCUCACCAAGCCUUCGAUGGAUAGGGGUUCUGAGAGGAAGGUCCCCCACAUUGGAACUGAGACACGGUCCAAACUCCUACGGGAGGCAGCAGUGAGGAAUAUUGGUCAAUGGGCGCUAGCCUGAACCAGCCAAGUAGCGUGAAGGAUGAAGGCUCUAUGGGUCGUAAACUUCUUUUAUAUAAGAAUAAAGUGCAGUAUGUAUACUGUUUUGUAUGUAUUAUAUGAAUAAGGAUCGGCUAACUCCGUGCCAGCAGCCGCGGUAAUACGGAGAAUCCGAGCGUUAUCCGGAUUUAUUGGGUUUAAAGGGAGCGUAGGUGGACUGGUAAGUCAGUUGUGAAAGUUUGCGGCUCAACCGUAAAAUUGCAGUUGAUACUGUCAGUCUUGAGUACAGUAGAGGUGGGCGGAAUUCGUGGUGUAGCGGUGAAAUGCUUAGAUAUCACGAAGAACUCCGAUUGCGAAGGCAGCUCACUGGACUGCAACUGACACUGAUGCUCGAAAGUGUGGGUAUCAAACAGGAUUAGAUACCCUGGUAGUCCACACAGUAAACGAUGAAUACUCGCUGUUUGCGAUAUACAGUAAGCGGCCAAGCGAAAGCAUUAAGUAUUCCACCUGGGGAGUACGCCGGCAACGGUGAAACUCAAAGGAAUUGACGGGGGCCCGCACAAGCGGAGGAACAUGUGGUUUAAUUCGAUGAUACGCGAGGAACCUUACCCGGGCUUAAAUUGCAGUGGAAUGAUGUGGAAACAUGUCAGUGAGCAAUCACCGCUGUGAAGGUGCUGCAUGGUUGUCGUCAGCUCGUGCCGUGAGGUGUCGGCUUAAGUGCCAUAACGAGCGCAACCCUUAUCUUUAGUUACUAACAGGUCAUGCUGAGGACUCUGGAGAGACUGCCGUCGUAAGAUGUGAGGAAGGUGGGGAUGACGUCAAAUCAGCACGGCCCUUACGUCCGGGGCUACACACGUGUUACAAUGGGGGGUACAGAAGGCAGCUAGCGGGUGACCGUAUGCUAAUCCCAAAAUCCUCUCUCAGUUCGGAUCGAAGUCUGCAACCCGACUUCGUGAAGCUGGAUUCGCUAGUAAUCGCGCAUCAGCCACGGCGCGGUGAAUACGUUCCCGGGCCUUGUACACACCGCCCGUCAAGCCAUGGGAGCCGGGGGUACCUGAAGUACGUAACCGCAAGGAUCGUCCUAGGGUAAAACUGGUGACUGGGGCU